CAGGGGCGGGCCGCGCGGAGCCUCAUUUCCCCGAAUGCCGGCGCUCGGUGGCGGUAGCGGCGGUUGUUGGCCAAACGAGUGCCGGGCAUAAGCCCCCCCGGUGGGGGGCAGCUGGUGUGCGGAUCGCGGCGGGAGAGACGCGCGGUAGGAACGGGUCCCCGGAGCCGUGAACCGCGGUCUCUUUCAGAUACCCAAAUCCACCCAUGCUGAAGUCCCCCAGUCUGCUCUCCGUAUCCGUGGUUGGGUCAAUCUAUAGAUGUGGAACCCGCAUAUACGGAGAGCCAACUGUAAUUUGUCCUUAAGGAGUGAAAGGGAAGCAAUGCAGAAAUCAGAGGGCUCUGGAGGUACACAGUUGAAAAACAGAGCAACAGGUAACUCCGAUCAAAGGACAUCAUCAAGCACACAGAUAAAACACAGGAAUGCAGUUCAGGGAAGCAAAUCCUCAUUGUCAACCCGUUCUCCAGAGUCUGCAAGAAAACUUCAUCCUCGACCAAGUGAUAAGCUGAACCCUAAAACGAUUAAUCCGUUUGGUGAACAGUCACGAGCGCCUUCUGCAUUUGCAGCUAUUUACUCUAAAGGAGGUAUUCCUUGCAGAUUGGUACAUGGUUCAGUAAAACACAGAUUACAGUGGGAAUGUCCUCCUGAAAGUCUUUCAUUUGAUCCACUUCUUAUUACUUUAGCUGAGGGUCUGAGAGAGACUAAGCAUCCAUACACUUUUGUGUCAAAGGAGGGUUUUAGAGAAUUACUUUCGGUCAAAGGUGCUCCUGAAAAAGCUAUUCCUUUGCUACCUAGACUGAUUCCUGUGCUAAAGGCAGCUCUGGUCCAUUCGGAUGAUGAAGUGUUUGAAAGAGGAUUGAAUGCUCUAGUUCAGCUAAGUGUCAUUGUUGGUCCUUCUCUAAACGACCAUCUGAAGCAUCUGCUUACAGGCCUUUCCAAGAGAUUAAUGGACAAGAAAUUCAAAGAGCCAAUCACAAGCGCAUUACAAAAGCUAGAGCAACGUGGCGGAAGUAAUACAGUUGACAAGAGGAAGGAAGCCUUAGCAUCAUCAAAUCUAAAAUUCCAACAUACUGCUCCAUAUGCUGUUGAAGAAGGGAGCCAACAAAAAGUGUUUUUUCUACCUGGUGAUGUGUCAAGCACUGACCAUGACUACGAAGGACCCAUUUUAUAUUUUGUGGAGUCUAUUGACCAGGCAUUAAACCACUUUAUUUAAAUCUUUACUUGGUAUUAAUGGAGGAUAUUUCUCAAAUCAUAAUGCCAAAAUGGAAACUACAGAGGCGCAGAGGAUUUCUGUUGUGUGUCUAGGUGACGAGUUCUAAUUUAAUGCAAUUUCCGCUCAAUAAAAGAAAAUUAUGUCCUAAAAAGCAAUGGUCCUUCUGAUGGAGUUUAGAUUUCUUCUGGCAAGCACUUGAAGACGGUGGAAAGUUUUAAAGAAGAGGAGUGAAGCUACUUGCUUUGAUGGGUGAGAGAAAGAAGCAAAGGCAUAGGAAUGUCCAGCUAGGCAGAAAACUGGAUAAAAUGAUGAAAAGAGAAACUAUCUACAAAAGCAUCUAUGGUUCUGGUUUUACUUGACUGUGUUCUUAAGCACUCAAUAAAUAUUUAUUAAAAGAGUGAAUAACUGACUUCUUGGAAUCUAGAUUUCAGUACGAUCCAGGGCUUAAAAGAUGUAAUAAUGAUCUCCCUUCUCCGUCUAUGACCUCUUUGUGAUCACAUUUCUUUACAUAACAGAAAUAGUUACUGAGUUUGUUAAGCUGAGAUUGCCUCAGUUUCUUAUAAUUUUACUUGUGAAGCUGAAAAAUAAAUGUUGAGAUUUUAUAGUUGAGCAACAAAAUUUACAGAUUCUUAGGGUGGGAAGACAUUUUGGAUAUUAUUUAGCAUUGCAUUUACAUUGAACAAAGGUAAAAAUAGGGACUUUUACUGACAUACCGAGGUCACCUAGUUAGUUCAUGGUAGAGUUGGCAAUGAAAUCAAGAUAUUCCUAUACCAUCUCUUUGAAAUCAAGGAUACUAGAGUAGAAAAAAACUCUAGGAUUCCUUUGGUGACUCCUACAUUUUACAGAGGAACAACCUGAGGCUAAGAAAAGUAAACUACUUGAGGUUACAUACCUUGGUGGUGGCAGUCUAUCCACAAACUCUGAACUGUCUUAGUCCAAAGUUCUUAACCCAAUUAUAUCGAGAACACAAUGAAUAUAGCAAAUAACCCUUGAGUUCGUUCUUCAUAGUAUUUGAACAAACACACUUGAUUAUCAUGCCCCAGGUUUGUAGAAUGAAAUCAGUCUGGUUUAUUUCUUUUUCCUAUCCCACACCCCUACUCCCGAAGAAUAGAAUUAGCUUCGUGUAUUUGAAUAUACAAUUCAUGACAUCGUUACUAUGGUAAGGCAAGUUCAUAUGCGUGAACAGUAGCUUCUGUCAAUAAGCUCUCUGUAAAUCACCCUGAAAAUUGUUAGAAAUAAUUGUCCUAGGACAAGGAUGCUCAAAGGGGGAAGUAUUUUUUAAAUUCUAUUUUAAUCUUUAUGUCUACAGAACUCAUCUGACUCAAGCUGCUGCACAUAGCAGCGGCUUAAUAAAUGUUUAUUGACAGAUUAUUCUGACAUGAGCUCAUUUGUUCAUUCAUUCAUUCAUUCAUUCAUUCAACAGCUGUUUAUUAGAUGCAUAGUGUGGACAACAUAAAUGUAUUCCUACAACAUGAGCAGGAAUAGCCCAGGAAACUAUGAUUUUUAUGGGCUUUAACAAUGUUUAGUGAACUAAAAUCUUACACACUAAAGCUUCUAUUGUAUGUGGAGUUUAAAAAGUUUUUGCAUAACCAUAUAGGCAAUAGCACCAACAAGCCGUCUCCUCUCUGCUUGCCUUAGAGUAGACAUACUUUAUCCCCUGCAAACAAGAGGCUUUUGUUCAAUCCAGUUUUUUCUGACAUCCAGCUCACCAAACAAGUUGGGUUUGAUAAACUGUUUCACAAAGCAAUAGAGAAAGCUAACAGCCUGACACAAUACAAAUUGCAGAGAGUUCUGUAGAUAAGACAAAGCACUUUCCUGGAGGAAAUGGUGAGAUGUUGUGAUUUAUGGACCCAUCAAUGUUACUGUUCAUAAUGAGAAAACCUGUUGCAUUCAGACCAUCAUCCUGAAUAAAGGAUGACUCCAUGGAACUGUAAGGAUGGCCAUCACAUGAAUUCGCCUGCCAUCAGAGAUCACAUUCUUCCUUAGCACAUUUUUCCUUUUCUGGCCUCAUAUAAGAAACAAUUUGUAUGUAUGAUAUUAAUUUUUUAAAAUGCAAAGCAAAUCAUAAUUCUUUAAAAUAUUUCAUUUCCUUCAGCGAUGCCUCAUGCAGUCAUAUUUCUGCAUUCAGUUAACAUGAAUAAUCAAAUAACUGUUAAGAGUGUAACAGUAAUUUUUUCUCUAGUCCCUAAUCCCUUUGGAUUUUGUGAUAGGAAUCCUCUGCAAAAUAGAUGUGCUCUGUUUAAGAUGUUCUGUAAUGUGGAAAUGUUAUUUUUCAAAUAAAGAUAUAAUUUUAAUGUGGAUCUGUAUCCAAGUUUUAGUAUGUAAUAACUUGAUUUGAAAUGAUCAAAAAACAAAGAUUUUCAUUUGCA